AUUCCAGCUCCAAGAGCGUAUAUUAAAGUUGUUGCAGUUAAAAAGCUCGUAGUUGGAUUUCUGGUAUAAUGCGCCUGGCCCGCUCCGUUUCGGAGUGAGUGCCGGUGCGCGUUUGCCAUCCUUCUAGAAAAUGUUUCUACCCUUCGCUGGGCCGGAUUCACGAUCUAGAUCUUUUACUUUGAAAAAAUUAGAGUGUUUAAAGCAGGCUUUUGCUAUGAAUACAUUAGCAUGGAAUAAUAAUCUAGGACUUCGGUUCUAUUUUGUUGGUUUCUAGUACUGAAGUAAUGAUUGAUAGGGAUAGUUGGGGGUGCUAGUAUUGACCGGCCAGAGGUGAAAUUCUUGGAUUCGGUCAAGACUAACUUAUGCGAAAGCAUUCACCAAGGAUGUCUUCAUCA
rnacentral:rRNA from 1 species